rnacentral:tRNA from 1 species
AGAGAAAUAGCUCAGUGGUAGAGUGCAUGCCUAGUAUGCUUAAGGUCUUGGGUUCAAUUCCCAGUACCUCCA